rnacentral:rRNA from 1 species
ACAAGCGGUGGAGCAUGUGGUUUAAUUCGACGCAACGCGAAGAACCUUUACUGGGCUUGACAUCUGCGGAAUUUCUAUGAAAGUAGGAAGUGCCUUCGGGGAGCCGCAAGACAGGUGCUGCAUGGCUGUCGUCAGCUCGUGUCGUGAGAUGUUGGGUUAAGUCCCGCAACGAGCGCAACCCUUAUCUUUAGUUACCAUCAUUCAGUUGGGGACUCUAAAGAUACUGCCCCGGUCAACGGGGAGAAGGUGGGGAUGACGUCAAGUCCUCAUGGCCCUUAUGUCCAGGGCUACACACGUGCUACAAUGGCCGGUACAGACGGACGCAAAGCCGCGAGGUGGAGCAAAUCCUAAAAAGCCGGUCUCAGUUCGGAUUGCAGGCUGCAAUUCGCCUGCAUGAAGUCGGAAUCGCUAGUAAUCGCAGGUCAGCAUACUGCGGUGAAUACGUUCCCGGGCCUU